GUGUCAGCCGCCGCGGUAAUACGGGGGGGGCAAGCGUUGUUCGGAAUUACUGGGCGUAAAGGGCUCGUAGGUGGCCAACUCAGUCGGAUGUGAAAUCCCCAGGCUCAACUUGGGAACUGCAUCCGAUACUGGAUGGCUUGAAUCCGGGAGAGGGAUGCAGAAUUCCAGGUGUAGCGGUGAAAUGCGUAGAUAUCUGGAGGAAUACCGGUGGCGAAGGCGGCAUCCUGGACCGGAAUUGACACUGAGGAGCGAAAGCCAGGGGAGCAAACGGGAUUAGAUACCCCAGUAGUCC
rnacentral:rRNA from 1 species